rnacentral:rRNA from 1 species
GAGGCGAACCGGGGGAACUGAAACAUCUAAGUACCCCGAGGAAAAGAAAUCAACCGAGAUUCCGAAAGUAGCGGCGAGCGAAAUUGGACUAGCCCUUAAGCUUUACACGCGUUAGACGAACGGUCUGGAAAGUCCGACGAUACAGGGUGAUAGUCCCGUAGUUGACGACGUGUGUUCAGUGAAAUCGAGUAGGGCGGGACACGUGAUAUCCUGUCUGAAUAUGGGGGGACCAUCCUCCAAGGCUAAAUACUACUGACUGACCGA